rnacentral:rRNA from 1 species
GACGAACGCUGGCGGCGUGCUUAACACAUGCAAGUCGAACGGAAAGGCCCUGCUUUUGUGGGGUGCUCGAGUGGCGAACGGGUGAGUAACACGUGAGUAACCUGCCCUUGACUUUGGGAUAACUUCAGGAAACUGGGGCUAAUACCGGAUAGGAGCUCCUGCUGCAUGGUGGGGGUUGGAGAGUUUCGGCGGUUGGGGAUGGACUCGCGGCUUAUCAGCUUGUUGGUGGGGUAGUGGCUUACCAAGGCUUUGACGGGUAGCCGGCCUGAGAGGGUGACCGGCAAGAUGGGGAAUGGAAGACGCCCAAAACUCCGCGGGGAGGAGGAGGGGGGAAAUAGGGAAAAAGGGGCGGAGGCUUGAGGCAGAACCGCCGGGUGGGGGAGGAGGGCCUUCGGGUUAAAAACCGGUUGCGCCGGUGAAGAAGGGGGAGUGAGGGAAGUGGAAAAAGAAAACCGGGAAACCUAGGGG